UUAAAAUUGACUUCUUCCCACAAAAGUUAGGUUACUUUAGUUCUAACAUUGGAAUGAAUUAGAUUUUUACUUUUACUUUGUUAUUCUAUGGUUUUAUACAGAUGGCGCAAGAUGACAUUCAGGCAUAUAAAAGGGACAGCUUACAGGGCGCGGUGGAAAGAGGGCCUCCUGGAAAGUCACUGAAGUGAAAACUCAUUUGCAGUUCUGUGAAGCACUCCUAAGAACCAGGAAUGGAAGUUUUGUCCCAGAGAUGCCAACCAUCAACACUAUGUAUAAGAGGAGGAAGAUGCUGGAAUCGUUGCCACCCAGGCUGAUUUGAAAAUCACAUUUCAGAACGAAAACAAAUGACCCCUUUUGACUCCUGGGAAACUUCUGUAUUAGAAGAUGGGGCUCCAAAGCUCACGACACAGAGAUUCCACAAAUGAAAGAAGCGUUGAGAUACCAGGAAGAUAUAUUUUGGCAGGUCAAGCGCU
rnacentral:lncRNA from 1 species